GAAAGCUUCUGUUUGUAUGUAUAAGGCAAUGUGCAUGCCAGCAUGUCAGUUACAGCAGGAGAGAGGGAACAAGCCAUGUGGGAACUGAUGGAGCCAUGUCACAUCCAGUGUCCUCUGCAGCCGCUAUGGAGUGACAGGAGGAAUGAGGGGCAAACGGUAAGAUCUUUAUGACGUGAGAGAAGCCAGGCGCGGAGCAGGGAACAGUCAGGUUUAAUUGGUGUGAAGAACAGGAUCACUGAAAAAUAUUUUCUCAUAGAUAAAACUCUUUUUGUAUAAAAGUCUACAGAAUUGUGAUAGGAAACCCAUAAUCAUGGUUUCAAGUGGGCAGAGAACUAGGCUCUGGCAUCGGGGGGGAAGGGGAACUGUUCACUGUCAACACCUUUUAGGACGUUUCCAUUGGGAUCGAAGGGUGGCUCACUCUGCCACUUUGACAUAAGAAUCACUUCUACCUAAGGCACUUGAAAAAUGGCACAGGCAAGAGCAUCAUCGGAUCUCUCCUUUUCUUCCUGAAGACAGGAGAUAAAAACGCUCAGGUGAAAGAUGCCUUCCCUGUACCGGGCAAAGAAAGAUUCCUCUACAGGGAAGCACGUCAUAGCCGACAGAAUUCUGUACAGACAUUAAAGUAAUUAAAGUAAUUCCUGUCGUUCUUAA
rnacentral:antisense_RNA from 1 species